AUACCAGCUGGUGUAUGCUGCCUGGUUAGUGGUUCAGUGUCUGAGAUCUCUGGUGUCCAGCCAAACCACACCAAAUGCCCUUCAAACGAAGUCAAGCGGGCUUCCCAAGGAAAGCCUCUAAGAAGAGCGGAUGCCCUGACCUCGCUGCCAGGAAAGAAAUGGCUAUGAAAAUGGGCUUUGAGGAAUCAAGAACUCAAGCAUGGUUUGAGAAGCAAUGGACCCUAAAUUCUGAGCAUAGAGAAGAGCCCAUGAGUUUAUCAAGACAUGGCACAAAUGAGGGGACACCCCCAGCCACUCAGUGGCAGUACCUCAACAGAGUCACUCCCCCAGUCUGUUGUCUCCCUUCCUCUAAUCCCUGCUGGGAUGACCACGCAUCCCUACCUGCCCCUCUUAGCUCGCAGGCAUUUGUUCCUUGGGAUCCCUCUGGGGUCUUUGGGAGCCAAGUGCCAAGCCCUGCGAUCAUGCAGACCCCAGAAGCUGUGCAGCAAAGACAGAACCCCGAUGCCCCUCUGACUUACAGGAAUCACUCACCAGAACAGCCAGUUGCAGGACAGGAUCUCUCAGAUAGCCAGGCUCCUUUCUAUUCUCAGUCUGGUCCAGAGCAUGAGAACAGACACUCCGAGGACCUAGAUCAUAUCCACGAUGUAGCUUAUAUUAUGCAAUGGUGGGACAAGGGCCGCCUGGAUAUGCUUGCAAGGUGGAACCCUCUGAAAGAGACAUAGUUUGUUCUGUCAUCCCUGUGAGGUUCACCAAAGCCUUAAGCUCUUGUAGUUCAUUGUCUUAUGCGUAUCCUCUCCGUAUCUGAUGAACACUUGUGUUAGUGCCACAAUGAAGUUAUGGUUAUUACUAUAAACAUUUGUGCACGUG
rnacentral:lncRNA from 1 species